GGAAGGAUCAUUACCAGUGGGGGCUAGCUGGGCGGCGUCGGUCUCCUGGCUGGUCGGCGUCUGUCCGUUCUGUGGUGGGGGAUGUGGGGGAUGUGGUGGGGGAGGGGUGGUGGCGAUGGGUGAUGGUGGUGGUGGGAGCUGGCGGGUCUCGGAUGUGGCAUAUCUCGGAUAUGGCGAGUCCUGGACAUGGCCGGCCUCUGGCACUCACUCAUUCAUUCGCACACUGCCCACACACUCGCACACACACACACACGUCGUCGCCACGGGACGGCAGAGGCACAUUCACGCACCACCGCCGUGCCAUAUGGUGGUGGCUGCUCUGAUGAUGGUGCGCAAGCGUCGUCGUCUGUGUUUGUUUGUUUGUUUGUUUGUUUGUUCUGUGCUGGUCUUGUGGUCAAGCGCCACGGGGGCAGUGCUGCUGCAGCCUGUGGUCAAACACGGGCGCAGCACAAAGCAGCCUGUGGUUAGACAUGGGCGCAGCACAACACAACACGCAGUCAGUUUCUUGUAACAUCAAUCAGCAAAUAUCACAAUACAACGGUUAACAACGGAUCUCUGGGCUCCUGCAGCGAUGAAGAACGCAGUAAAGUGCGAAAAGUAGUGCGACCAGCAAAGGUUGCGAGUCAUCGAGUUUUUGAACGCAAGUUGCGCGCGGUCUUUAGGCCGCGUGUGACCGAUUGAGUGCUGUGCUUUGAGACUAGAUUGUAGUGAUCUGAGGUGCGCUCUGAUCUGGCCUGGUGGUGGUGGUGGUGGUGGGGGAGGAGUAACAGCCAUCCCCUAUAUCAUCCCAUCUAUCGAUGGUCGGAUCUAGUGCGGAAGACAUGCGGUGCAGGAUCAUGGCAUGUGCAUGUGGUAGAGAGGCUUGUACUCGAUAUGAGCAUGCAUGGACAGGAUCACAGGAUGCACCACCUGCGGGGCAGGCAGGCCAGCCGAGUCGAGCGUGCUCAGGCAUGAUCGACAAUGGCAGGCAGGCUAGCCGGCAGUCAAACACACACCUGCGGCCUCAGUCGGUCAAGACCACCCGCUGAACUUAAGCAUAUCAGUAAGCGGAGGAGAAGAAACUAACAAGGAUUCCCGCAGUAACGGCGAGUGAAGUGGGAUCUAGUUCACGGCUGAAAUUGAUGCGAGUCAAUGAUGUGGCCUUGGCAUGUAGACGAUGUGGGAGCUGGGGAUCGGAUGGGUGCAAGUGCUCUGGAAAGGGCCACCAGAGAGGGUGACAGUCCCGUGGUGCCGGCCGAUCCGCAGGGCCCAGUCUAUGGUGCGCAGAGUCGGGUUGCUUGGGAAUGCAGCUCAAAGGGGUGGUAAAUCCCAUCCAAGACUGAAUACGGGCAGGAGACCGAUAGCGAACAAGUACCGUGAGGGAAAGAUGAAAAGCACCCUGAAAAGGGGGUUAAAAGUGCGUGAAAUUGUUAACCUGGAAGCGAGUGGUUGGAUGAAGGUGUGUGGAGUGCAGGGGCGAGGGAGGAGCGUGUGGGCGGAGCGACAAGCCGGCCGUGCGAAUGCUCUCUUCUCCCGGCGCCACGCGAUGGGGGGCCUCGGAGUGGCGGGAUGAAUACCCGGGAAGGUACUCACCAGAUGAGCUUAUAGCCCGGGGACAGGCGGCGACUCGGAGGUGACAGCAGGCGGGGUGCGUGCGGGUCCAUGCGGACGGGCAGACGGAUGGGUGCAGACUGCAUGCAGACUGCGGCCAUGGGUCGGCUGUAGGCGCGGGACACGGCGCAUCCGGCGCCCCCAGUAGACACAACCACCCGACCCGUCUUGAAACACGGACCAAGGAGUCUAACAUGUAUGCGAGUGUUUGGGUGGCAAGCCCGGGCGCGCAGCGAAAGCGUCGAGUACGAGCUGCAGGCCUGGGGGCGUGCUCGUGUCAAAGCGGGCGGGCAGCAGGCGGCAGGGCAGUACGACCGCGGGCCGGCUUUCAGCGGGGCCGUGGCGGAGCACACACGUUGGGACCCGAAAGAUGGUGAACUAUGCCUGGGGAGGAUGAAGCCAGAGGAAACUCUGGUGGAGGUCCGCAGCCGUUCUGACGUGCAAAUCGAUGGUCGGACCUGGGCAUAGGGGCGAAAGACUAAUCGAACCAUCUAGUAGCUGGUUCCCUC
rnacentral:misc_RNA from 1 species